CUUACAAUUAGUCUGAUUGCACUUUAUUCCGCAUGUCUUUAUUUUCGUUUGCGUAUGUAUGUACACAAUCUCAAUUUACCUAAUUGCUCAAGAAGCUUUCGGUCUAUGAAUGAAAGAUUUUAUCUCAUCGUCCUGUUCAUUUGCGUAUGCGUGGCCUAUGCAGUAGAGCGUCUUAAAAUUUUAUCGGAAAGGUUAACCCGGUUUUCGUGCUAAAAAUGAAAAGAACAAAAAUUUCAUAUUUUCACCCCCACAAAUUUUCUUCACUUUUGUGGAUUUAUUUGGCCGUCUACAUAUUUCCAUUCGUGAACUGUUUUUCAAGCCUUGAACUACGACACAUUUUCAAUCAUUGUGAGUCUUCUGCAGCAAACCAAGUUAUCGCUUGGGAAACAAUUUCCAGUAUUUUUGGCACCUUAGAAGCUCCAUCUUUCACAGCUAACACUGGGCUAGUAAAUAUUUCUCGUCCGUUAGAGAAAAUUGCAAAAAUUCCUUUUACAUUUCGCCCAAUUCCACAACGUUCAAAAGUUCAUAAAACACUAAACAUUUUUUAUUUAGCGACUUGUCCUAGUUCAGAAGUGUCGGGACAAUUGAUCCAGAUCAAAAAUGAGCGAUUCUUCCACAAGGGGAAUGAUUACACCGCAAUUAUUCUCGAUAUUGAAUUAUCGUCACAAUUUGCACGCAACAUUUAUCUUCGCCAAAUCAGACACGCAGUUAUUUUAUCGUUUCCCAAAACUGAAGCCAACCCAUCCUCACACGAAACAUUCCACGUGUUAAAACUGUGCUAUUUCUGUCACGAAACUUUCAUCCCGACUCCACAAUUAUUCCAAAUUUCUCGUCGACCUUCACAAAAUCAUCUUCAGGAUAUAUUCUCUGAAAAUCAAAUUCCCAAUUAUCAACGAAAAACUAUCGAAGUUUCCUGCAGCAACAAUACUAAAGUGCGACUCUUCCUGCUUCCCAAAUCCGAUGGUACUGUUCAACCCCAAAUUCCAGGCGUAUUUGCCAGCUAUCUUUCCCAUUUCGUCCAAAAGCUUAACUAUUCCGCCGUCUACCGUACAGCGACCCAUGGAGGUGGUACCGGAGUCCUUUUGAAUGGGUAUUGGAACGGCGUCACUGGCGAUGUUCAUCGAGAAACGGCACAAAUCGGAGUUGUUGUCGGUCUUAAUGUCAACCGCUUUGAAGUCGUUGCAUUCACAAACCCCGGAGAGUAUCAAGCCUUAAUCAUGAUCACGAGACAGCACUACCAAAUUUUUUCGUGGACUUUGGUAUCAAUUCCGUUGCAUAAUCAGGUCUGGAUUCUCAUGGGAUGCACCCUGGUCAUCUCGACGUUAACGAUUUACGGAAUCCAGCUAUUUUAUCGCGUCUACAUAAUACCGAGGCAAAAUGCAACGAAGAAAAUCCGUCUUUGGGAUAACAACCGAAUUAUGGAGUAUCUUUUCUCCUCAUUUUUCGAAGAGCACGCCCCCUCCCCGACCAUCCCGUCGUUGCAAUUAUUUCUCAGUUUGUGGCUCUUUUGUUCUGUAACCUUGGGGACAGCGUAUAAUUCUAAACUUUUCUCCGUCCUGGCGUUUCCACCACUGGAUUUCCAACCGAAAAAUUUUGACGAAUUGGUUACAUCUCAGUACAAAUGGGGCCUGAACACCCUCGGAGAUGCGGCUCUCCUUUAUCUCAAAGCGUCCACCGAUCCCGUGGGGAAACAGCUUUAUAAGGGAAUGGAUGCUCACGCGGAUUCGAUAAAAUGCAUAGCAAUUGCUAUGAACCAAAAAUAUGCCUGCAUCACGUACGGGACCGUGUUGGAUUUUGCGAUUGCGAGGAAUUUCACGAGAUCGAUGAGGCGAUCUUUGACCGAGUCGACGUCAUCUAUUUACACGUUAGCGGCUGCUUUUAUAACGCAGAAGGAUUCGCCGUUGGAGGAAGAAUUGAAUAGAAUUAUUGGACAAUCAUUCGCUCAGGAUUUACAAAGGAAGUGGUUAGAUUUGUAUCACGGAAUGGUCAAGAAAGGGGGUGACGUUUGGAGGGCAAGGUUGAAAAGGGAGAGGGCUGCACAAGUUCAAGAGGAUCAAACGGGCCCCGGAAGUGAAAGAAAGUUUGUUAAAUUUUCCAUCAAGAAACUGCAAGGUGCAUUUUUUGCAUUAUUUAUUGGUUUGGGGAUUAGUAUGGGGGUGGUUUUAUCGGAAGUUAGGAAUAAAUUGUUCUGUAAAGUUGGAAGACAGCUUAUCGAAGAACCAUAGACUAACCUAAAGAGAAAGUAUUAAUGUUGCAAUGUUAAAUUUAUGUAUGUACUUAUGCUUAUUUCAGCAAUAGUAUUAUUAUUAGACUAUUCUCUGCAUAAACGAGUGUGUUAUGAAUAUGGUAUGUACGAGACAUGCAUACAUACUUAUAAACUAAUGGAAAGUAUUUAGUUUAACGCCUGGAAUAACAGAACAAACCGACGUUAGCUAGCUAUAAUUUAAGACACGAGUUUGCAAUAAAGGUGACUGAUAGGACCAUAUUUACUACAUACGUACUUGUACACUAAACGGAAAAUUGUACAAUGUGUCUAUGUACGUAUGUAUGUAUAUUUGAGUAUGGUUACGUAUUAUGACGUAUUUAUGUAUGCAUAAUUUUUGGACAAAUUUACGAUUUACAAGAAUUAUCAAACCCUAUGUAUUUACUAGAAAAUAGCUUCAUCAUCUAUACAUGUAUGUGCUCUAUCAGAAAUAUCAUAGUCAUCUUAAUUACAUGUAACAAUACAAAUUUGUUUUGCUUUACAAAUAUGUCUUGGACUGAUUAAAUUAUUGCAUCAUUAAAUACUUUCUAUGAAUAUACGUACUUGCACGUUACAAUACUUAUGCGACAUGCGACUAAAAUAAUACGCACUCAAAUUGACCCUUGGCGAUCUAGUGGUGUGACAGUAUGCAUCAUACGUUUGUCCAUAUGUUAAAUGAAGUAAUUUAUCACUUAUGAUGUAAUAAUAGAUAUGCGCAAUAUGUGCAAAAUAAUAUAUAUGUAUACACAUUAUACGUAUUAACUUGAUGCCGGUUAUCAUUCGACACCUGACACAAUUAUAAGUGCAAAUUAAGUUCCAUUGGAAUUGGUCCCAAUAUAAAACCAACUCAUUUGGUUAAAUACGAUAGAAAAGCUGUAUCCACUAUGUUGAAUAUUUCCUCUCGUACACUUUGAGCAAAAUGUGGCUUCAAAAUAUUUCCACGAUACUUUUUCUUGCGUUGGUUGUGGUAAUGGGAAAAGGCGUAUUUUCGCAAUCCAAUUCCAUUUGGCAAAUGGACGUAUAUCUAUCCAAACAUGUAUCAAAGAUCGAGGAACUUGCUGCUGAGAAACUUGAACCCUUGGUUCGCUUUCCGGAUAUUCAACUCAACAUGACCUUCCCUUA